CCUGGAUAAAAUAGUCUGUCUUCAAACCAUCAGUUCCUAUGUGUUUGUGGAAGGCGCUCAGGAAGUAUUAGGUGUUGGAAUGAAGAGAAAGAGGUGUGAAGCCGUUCUACCAGCCACCCACAGAUCCCAGUCCGGAUCUCAAACGUGGCAUGUUCUUGUGUUCUGAACCCCACUCUGCAGCUGGAUUUAUUUUCAUCUUUCUUCAUUGUCCCCUACUGCAAGGUCCGAACAAAGUGCGGCUUUGCCUUCUAAGUACAAGAGAUGCAUUCUGCUGUCUGUUAGCUGCAUUCUGCUGUCCUGUGAUCCCAAGAAGCGAGGGGAAGCUUGAUGAGAGGAGAAGAAAUGUUUCUCAGCGAAGGACAGAACUACAAAAUGUUUGUGUUGCAGAGAAUUGAAGUGAUCAUUCAACCUAGAGUGACACAGAAAUCAAUCUGCUCUGCCAGGAGCUGGACACGAAAGGUCUCCUAAGGAGAAGGUUGACUGCCUCCACUCCCCAGGUUGCCUUCUCCUACAUGAGGCUACAGAAAGAGUUCCAACAAGGGGAGACCCAAGUGGCUGGAGAAACAGUGACUUAGGGAGGAGGUGUUAAUGGAAUUUAGGUCAGAUUUCAUUUCAUGGAAAAGAGAUCAGUCAAUGUUAUGAACUACUAAAUGUGACUAGAUUGCUUAAGAGCUAGUGAAGAUUUACAAACUCCUUGGGUUAUUUCCUCUGAAUUGCAGUCAAUUUUCAUACAGUUCUUAUAGUGCCUGGCAUGCUGGGUUGAAUAAUGGAUUGGAUAGGGGCUUUUGAACUUUUCCAUUU